GCAGGAAGCGGAACUGGGAGAAGGAGUAGUCGCUGGCCAGCACCGCCUGGAUGCCCUCCUGACCCGAGAUACCGACCCCGAUGUGGGCGCCUGAAGGAAAACAGAGGACGGAUGGAUGGAGGACGAUAAAGGUGUCCACCACACAGAGCUGCCAGAGCUGCAUUAACCCCGGGAGAGGAUGCUGAUGCCAGAAAGAACCGAGGCUCCUGAACGCCACAGAAUGCAUCUUUAGCAAAGCGCCCGGUAAGUGUUUAAUGCCUCCGACAACUUCAAGGGCAUCAGGAGCCCUGACGUGGAGCAACAUGCUAUACGGCAAGAAAUCCAUAAACGAAAUCCAUUACUGUGAGUCGCAGGCUGAGAAGAAGGUUUCCAUAAACAACUCGGACAUAAAGGAGUGAAUACAUAUCGAUUAAAGUCAAAUGCUGUCUCUUUAACGCUCAUGUCUGGACAUGUGAGGACACCGAUCUCCUUCCAGCACUAACGCAGAUAAGCAGAGUCACUUCUGAUUCAGGUCUGGAGUCAGAAUCCCAUCAGACUGAUGUGCUCACUGAUGUCAUUACAAGAAACGAGGGAUAGUGGUGUCGUCUGCUCGUGCACGCUGAUCUAAUUUGCCGGGAAACGAGGCCGGUGACACAGUAGCAGCUGAUGGAGUGGAGGUCGGAUGAAGGUGCACAUCCAGCCUGAUGGUUAAGGAAUAAGGCCGCAGAGGAGGCUGGCGCCGGAUGAUUGAUCAGAGUCUCGGGCGGCAGAGACAAGGACACCAGGCCAGAAUUUACACCCAGUUCAGAUUCAGAUCAGCUCUGGUUUGUUUACAUGCAGCCUCCAAUAAAAACUGAUGCAUAAAAGAUGAAUCAAAGUGACGUAAUGCAACGAGAAAACUGCAACGGCUGCAGCUUAGGAGAUGAAAGCUGUCUAAUGAAUAAUUAAGUUCAUGCCGUAAUGCAAUUUAAUUUAAUACAGAUAGAAGUUGUUAAUGCUGCCCUUUAAUCACCACAUUCAGACAUGCAUGCUGAGGGUUAAGAGCAUAGUAAAAGUUAAAAAAAAAAAAAAAAAGUCAACGAUUUUCUGGAUUCUUUCCUUUUUGUUUUACAGAUUUCUUCAACUUUAUUUUUGAAAUAUGAAAAAAGUUAAUAAAAGUACAAACUAUGACUGUAAAUUUA